rnacentral:rRNA from 1 species
CGGCUACCGAACUUAAUCAAACUGCGAAUGGCUGUACUUAUACAUGGGAGUCAGACUGCGAGUAAUAAGGCCCGUAGUCAAGAGGGAAACAGCCCAGACCAACAGCUAAGGUCCCCAAUGCCGUACUAAGUGGCGAAGGAUGUGGAAUUUCGAAAACAACCAGGAUGUUGGCUUAGAAGCAGCCACCAUUAAAAGAGUGCGUAAUAGCUCACUGGUCGAGAGACUCUGCGCCGAAGAUGACCGGGGCUAAAGUACGGAACCGAAGCUUUGGCAAGUAUCGUAAGAUACUUGGGUAGGGGAGCGUUCCUGCAUGGGAGAAGCCUGACCGGAAGGACAGGUGGACAAGCAGGAAGAGAGAAUGCCGGUAUGAGUAGCGAAAAGAAAGGUGAGAAUCCUUUCCACCGAAAGCCUAAGGGUUCCUGGGCAACGAUCGUCGACCCAGGGUAAGUCGGGACCUAAUCCGAGGCGGAGACGCGUAGGAGAUGGACAACAGGUUGAAAAUCCUGUACCGCAGGAGUCUGUUUGAGCGAGGGAGUGACACAGAAAGGAAUGCGCGCGUGCGAUUGGAAGAGCACGUCCAAGCUGGUAGGUUGUGUGGCAGGCAAAUCCGCCAUACUGAAAGCCGAGAAGUGAUGGGGAGCCAUUGGAGACAAUGGCGAAGGGGCAGGAACUAGGCUGUCGAGAAAAGCUUCUAGUGAGGACUCAGGCGCCCGUACCGAAACCGACACAGGUAGGCAGGAAGAGAAUUCUAAGGUGCGCGGGAAAACCCUCGUUAAGGAACUCGGCAAAAUGUAUCCGUAACUUCGGGAAAAGGAUAGCCUAAAGUAUGUGAGCUGCAGAAACGCAGGGAGCAGGAAUAGGCGGCAGAAGAGAGGCCCAAGCGACUGUUUACCACAAACACAGGCGUCUGCUAAAGCGAAAGCUGACGUAUAGAUGCUGACACCUGCCCGGUGCUGGAAGGUUAAGAGGACGUGUUAGCCAUAAGGCGAAGCAGAGAAUUGAAGCCCCAGUAAACGGCGGCCGUAACUAUAACGGUCCUAAGGUAGCGAAAUUCCUUGUCGGGUAAGUUCCGACCCGCACGAAAGGUGUAACGAUUUGGGCACUGUCUCAACGAGGGACCCGGUGAAAUUGAAAUACCUGUGAAGAUGCAGGUUACCCGCGACUGGACAGAAAGACCCCAUGGAGCUUUACUGUAACCUGACAUUGGGUUUUGUUGUAUUACGUACAGGAUAGGUGGGAGGCUUGGAAGGCUGGACGCUAGUCUGGCUGGAGCCGGCGUUGGGAUACCACCCUUGAUACAACGGAAUUCUAACCGAGAGAGUAACGAAAUCCGGGACAGUGUCAGGCGGGCAGUUUGACUGGGGCGGUCGCCUCCGAAAGAGUAACGGAGGCGCCCAAAGGUUCCCUCAGCGCGGCCGGAAAUCGCGCGAAGAGUGUAAAGGCAGAAGGGAGCUUGACUGCGAGCCAAACACGGCGAGCAGGUACGAAAGUAGGGCUUAGUGAUCCGGUGGUACCGAGUGGAAGGGCCAUCGCUCAACGGAUAAAAGCUACCCUGGGGAUAACAGGCUAAUCUCUCCCAAGAGUCCAUAUCGACGGGGAGGUUUGGCACCUCGAUGUCGGCUCAUCACAUCCUGGGGCUGAAGUCGGUCCCAAGGGUUGGGCUGUUCGCCCAUUAAAGUGGUACGUGAGCUGGGUUCAGAACGUCGUGAGACAGUUCGGUCCCUAUCCAUCGCGGGCGCAAGAGAUUUGAAGGGGGCUGCUCCUAGUACGAGAGGACCGGAGUGGACGAACCGCUGGUGUACCAAUUAUCCCGCCAGGGGUACAGUUGGGUAGCUACGUUCGGAAAGGAUAAACGCUGAAAGCAUCUAAGCGUGAAACCAGCCUUAAGAUGAGAUCUCUCAUAGAGCAAUCUAGU